GUGUUUCAGGGCUCAGACGUGGUAGAUGGUGUCAUCUCUGCUCUAGGAAAACCAGAGGCCAGAGGCCAGAUAUACGAAGCCCUUGGCCCAGAAAGCUACUUCUUGCACGACCUGGUGAAAUUUUUCUAUUUCUGUAUGAGGAGGCCAUUAGUGGGAUUUGAGGAAUUCACUGAAAACUAUUU